CACGUAGGCGGUCCUUUAAGUCGGGUGUGAAAGCCCUCGGCUCAACCGAGGAAGUGCAUUCGAAACUGGAGGACUUGAGUACCGGAGAGGGUGACGGAAUUCCCGGUGUAGAGGUGAAAUUCGUAGAUAUCGGGAGGAACACCAGUGGCGAAGGCGGUCACCUGGACGGAUACUGACGCUGAGGUGCGAAAGCGUGGGGAGCAAACA
rnacentral:rRNA from 1 species